CCGGAGAAUGUUAUUACGGGAGACACACGGCGGGCGCUAACGUCCGUCGUGAAGAGGGCAACAACCCAGACCGCCAGCUAAGGUCCCAAAGUCAUGGUUAAGGGGGAAACGAUGUGGGAACGCCCAGACAGCCAGCAUGUUGGCUUAGAAGCAGCCAUCAUUUAAAGAAAGCGUAAGAGAUCACUGUUCGAGUCGGCCUGCGCGGAAGAUGUAACGGCGCUAAACCAUGCCCCGAAGCCGCGGCAGCGCCGCGAUGUGUUGUUGGGUAGGGGCGCGUUCUGUAAGCA
rnacentral:rRNA from 1 species